GGAAGAUUGAAGACUUGAAAGAGGCACCAAAAAAUGGGUAAGGCCGGGGCAGCCACGAUACCUCCCACCCCAGGCCCAGCCCGUUUAAUUUGAAUGCACCUGCCAUCUCUUGUCUUCU
rnacentral:pre_miRNA from 1 species